UGAAGGGCGCAGCUGAUCCAUCAUGCCGCGUGUGUGAAGAAGGCCUGCGGGUUGUAAAGCACUUUAAGCAGGGAAGAAUGGGCUAAGGCUAAUACCUUUGGUCAGUGACGUUACCUGCAGAAUAAGCACCGGCUAACUACGUGCCAGCAGCCGCGGUAAUACGUAGGGUGCGAGCGUUAAUCGGAAUUACUGGGCGUAAAGCGUGCGCAGGCGGUUAUACAAGACAGGCGUGAAAUCCCCGGGCUUAACCUGGGAAUGGCGCCUGUGACUGUAUAGCUAGAGUGUGUCAGAGGGGGGUAGAAUUCCACGUGUAGCAGUGAAAUGCGUAGAUAUGUGGAGGAAUACCAAUGGCGAAGGCAGCCCCCUGGGAUAACACUGACGCUCAUGCACGAAAGCGUGGGGAGCAAACAGGAUUAGAUACCCUGGUAGUCCACGCCCUAAACGAUGCUGACUAGUUGUUCGGGAUUUACAUCCUGAGUAACGUAGCUAACGCGUGAAGUCAGCCGCCUGGGGAGUACGGUCGCAAGAUUAAAACUCAAAGGAAUUGACGGGGACCCGCACAAGCGGUGGAUGAUGUGGAUUAAUUCGAUGCAACGCGAAAAACCUUACCUACCCUUGACAUGUCACUAACGAAGUAGAGAUACAUUAGGUGCUCGUAAGAGAAAGUGAACACAGGUGCUGCAUGGC
rnacentral:rRNA from 1 species